GCUGUAGCUCAGUGGUUAGAGCAUCCGACCGGUGUACGGAAGGGCAUGGGUUCGACUCCCGUCGAGGACU
rnacentral:tRNA from 1 species